CUCGUGUCGUGAGAUGUUGGGUUAAGUCCGUACGAGCGCAACCCUCGUCCUUAGUUACCAGCACGUUAUGGUGGGCGACUCUAAGGAGACUGCCUCGUGACAAACCGGAGGAAGGUGGGGAUGACGUCAAGUCAUCAUGGCCCUUACGGCCUGGGCUACGCACGUGCUACAAUGGUCGGUACAAAGGGUUGCCAAGCCGCGAGGUGGAGCUAAUCCCAUAAAACCGAUCGUAGUCCGGAUCGCAGUCUGCAACUCGACUGCGUGAAGUCGGAAUCGCUAGUAAUCGUGAAUCAGAAUGUCACGGUGAAUACGUUCCCGGGCCUU
rnacentral:rRNA from 1 species